rnacentral:rRNA from 1 species
UACAGAGGUCCCGAGCGUUGUUCGGAUUCAUUGGGCGUAAAGGGUGCGUAGGCGGCGGGGCAAGUCUGAUGUGAAAUCCCGGGGGCUCAACCCCGGAACUGCAUUGGAUACUGCCUUGCUUGAGUACUGGAGAGGGAACUGGAAUUUACGGUGUAGCAGUGAAAUGCGUAGAUAUCGUAAGGAAGGCCAGUGGCGAAGGCGAGUUCCUGGACAGUUACUGACGCUGAGGCACGAAGGCCAGGGGAGCAAACGGG